CCUACGGGUGGCUGCAGUGGGGAAUAUUGGACAAUGGGCGAAAGCCUGAUCCAGCCAUGCCGCGUGUGUGAAGAAGGCCUUCGGGUUGUAAAGCACUUUCAGUGGGGAAGAAAGCCUUGGGGCUAAUACCCUCGAGGAAGGACAUCACCCACAGAAGAAGCACCGGCUAACUCCGUGCCAGCAGCCGCGGUAAUACGGAGGGUGCGAGCGUUAAUCGGAAUUACUGGGCGUAAAGCGCGCGUAGGCGGUCUGAUAAGCCGGUUGUGAAAGCCCCGGGCUCAACCUGGGAACGGCAUCCGGAACUGUCAGGCUAGAGUGCAGGAGAGGAAGGUAGAAUUCCCGGUGUAACGGUGAAAUGCGUAGAGAUCGGGAGGAAUACCAGUGGCGAAGGCGGCCUUCUGGACUGACACUGACGCUGAGGUGCGAAAGCGUGGGUAGCAAACAGGAUUAAUACCCGGUAGUC
rnacentral:rRNA from 1 species